UACGUAGGUGGCGAGCGUUGUCCGGAUUUACUGGGCGUAAAGCGUGCGCAGGCGGCUCCUUAAGUCAGAUGUGAAAGCCCCGGGCUUAACCUGGGAACUGCGUUUGAAACUGGGGAGCUGGAGUGUAGAAGAGGGGGGUGGAAUUCCAGGUGUAGCAGUGAAAUGCGUAGAUAUCUGGAGGAACACCGAUGGCGAAGGCAGCCCCCUGGGCUAACACUGACGCUCAUGCACGAAAGCGUGGGGAGCAAACAGG
rnacentral:rRNA from 1 species